GCUGGUGGUACAGAGAAAGACUUGAUACAGCCAGCCUACGUUGUAUCUUCUGGAAGCUGCAGUUGGUACUGUGCAAGAGUCUCCCAGGUGGUACUGGAUUUCAAGGCAUGAAGGGGUCGUGGAGAGCAGCUGAAGCCUGUCACUGUGAGAGGCCAAGAGAGGUCGUUGGUGAAGUUACAGUCAGAGCAGCCGAUGAAGCUCCAAGGUUGGAGAUGUCCUAAAGAGAGGCUUGGCACCAUGAGAAGAGCCUCUGAGAGGCUAUUGCUGAAAGUGAAGCCCAGUUGCAGCAAGAGAUCCAAGAAUUUUGGAGGUGCCAGUCCCAUGGGAUGACUGCCAUAUCAACGGCAGCAGCGGAAUAGAAGGCAGAUGGAGCCUAGAAGGAAGCUGUGUGUGUUGUGGAGAACAGAAAAUUGUAAGUCCAUCCUAGACAGUGGAUUCUGAGUUAUUUACGGUUGGAGUUUGGCUUUGCUUCACUUUGUGACUGUGCCCUGGUUCUUCCUUCUUGAACCAUGUGGAGUGGAUAUUUAUCCUCAUUUCCGCGACAAGAAAAUUAUUUGGUGAGGCGAUUGGGAUCUAUUUAUCCAGCUAGAAGUGUCAUGCCAAAACCAGAGCCUUUUCGCAAUUCUGGGUGAUUUCCAGAGAUGUUCUCUGUGCGGAGACUAUCAGAGUUGAGAAAUGGAGGAGGCAGAGACCACCUGAUCUUCUCACGAAACCAUCACUUUUACAUGUAUACUUCUGCAGGCAUGCGGCCAGACAAGCAGCUAUAGGGAAAAGAAAGGCGCUUGGGAAGUUCCAGAAGCAUGCGGGAAAGUGAGUCCCAGUGUGUCCUUUCCUUUCCGUUAACACAAAUAAAGUUCCAUCCAAGUUUGUCUUACCACCCCCAGAAUUAGUUACAAUUUUGGCUACCUAAUUUCAGGGAAAUUAAACAGUCUUUUUUGGUCUUCUGUACAAAAUGUUGAUAAGAAGGAGUAAACUGUCGGGCCCUUUUGUCCUGUAAUCUUGACCUCUGGAUUUCUAAAGAAUGUGCUCGUUUUUCUUUGUCACCAGCUCUGUUGGAACUGAAAGGAAAAUAAAUUGAAUUCUGUAAACAGAGUUCAGAAAGACGCAGUCUGGUUCCAGGAAAGGAUCCACGCCGGCGCUCUAUUCAACAUGGCUUGAGCCGGCAGCUUCAGAUUUGCUGGGAAGCCCCUGAGUAGCUCGGAGAGCUGCUUGUACAAAGGGCAAUUGCUGUCAUUAAAAACAAUGGAUGUUUGGGCUCCUGAGUGACUCUGUGAAGAAGAAAAUAUUUAUUAAAGUUUGGUCUGUAUAUUCGAGGAAAAACUAGAAACCCAGAGAUGGUAGCGACAGCAACAGCAGCAGCAACAACAAAAAGCAGUGGAGAAAGAGAAGAAAAAUGCUCAAGUGAUUAAUAUUUAUUAUUGUUAUUGGGAUGGUUUGUGUUUUAUGUUUGGUGCUAUUUUCCUUUAAAACAAGGCAAACUGGAAGAAUAAUAGUGGAGCCACUUAGGUAAAGAGGGAAUUUUGAGGUCCUUGUUACUUGGAUUACAACCCUAGCUUCUGUUUCCACUUCUAAAUCCAAGUCUAUUAUUUGAUUUAUUUAGCCCAUCUGUCUGAUAAGGCUUUUUUUCCCUUCCUUAUGAUUCACUGCCUUUAAUGUGAAUUAAGCAACGACAAGACCUUUGUUUAAAGGCCAGCCUUCACAGACUUUUAAUUUCCCUCUGGAUCUCACAGCUAGCCCUCAAAUAAUUCCUGUUCAAACAGCUGCCAAAAUGCUUUCCUAGAGAAGGGCCAUAGAGGCUGAGUCUUAAAUCCAGGAGGGCUGUGAUCAAGGCAACAGCUUUUUCUGGCUUGGAGUUUGCAUGCAUUUGGCGGGCUACCGAAGAGGAUUAAGUAAUCAUUCUUGUGGAACCAAACGGAAAUGCACCUGGACACCAGUUCUUUGGGUAAACGCUUCUUACACAGAGGCUGGAAGCUUAUCAAGGAUGGCUGGCAUGGAUCAAGAACUGAGACAUGGAGAUCCAGGACCGUUUUGAAAGAUAACCAACCCAGACACUUGGGCUCACAUGCUGUGUGUUUGAGGCAAGCUGGAGUCACGGAGAAAGCUGAGGUCUUGACAGCACGGUCAGAUAGCCAGCCACCAGGGUGGGACAGUUGAAAUACUUAUUGGAAGAGCCACCUCAAACAUCAGGAAUCUCAAAUAAAAAACACAUUUGACACCCGC